rnacentral:misc_RNA from 1 species
UUUCAACCCUCAAGCCUGGCUUGGUGUUGGGGCAUUGCCUUCCCUCGGGAGGGCAAGCCUGAAUUCAGUGGCGAGCUCGCCAGGACUCCGAGCGUAGUAGUAAAACCCUCGCCUUGGACUGUUCUGGCGCGGCCCUGCCGUAAAACCCCCAACUCUGAAAAUUUGACCUCGGAUCAGGUAGGAAUACCCGCUGAACUUAA